rnacentral:rRNA from 1 species
AGAGUUUGAUCCUGGCUCAGGACGAACGCUGGCGGCACGCUUAACACAUGCAAGUCGAACGAGAGAAGAGGAGCUUGCUUUUCUGAUCUAGUGGCGGACGGGUGAGUAACACGUGAGCAAUCUGCCUUUCAGAGGGGGAUACCGAUUGGAAACGAUCGUUAAUACCGCAUAACAUAAUUGAACCGCAUGAUUUGAUUAUCAAAGAUUUAUCGCUGAAAGAUGAGCUCGCGUCUGAUUAGCUAGUUGGUAAGGUAACGGCUUACCAAGGCGACGAUCAGUAGCCGGACUGAGAGGUUGAUCGGCCACAUUGGGACUGAGACACGGCCCAGACUCCUACGGGAGGCAGCAGUGGGGAAUAUUGCACAAUGGAGGAAACUCUGGUGCAGCGAUGCCGCGUGAGGGAAGAAGGUUUUAGGAUUGUAAACCUCUGUCUUCAGGGACGAAAAAAGACGGUACCUGAGGAGGAAGCUCCGGCUAACUACGUGCCAGCAGCCGCGGUAAUACGUAGGGAGCGAGCGUUGUCCGGAAUUACUGGGUGUAAAGGGAGCGUAGGCGGGAUCGCAAGUCAGAUGUGAAAACUAUGGGCUUAACCCAUAAACUGCAUUUGAAACUGUGGUUCUUGAGUGAAGUAGAGGUAAGCGGAAUUCCUAGUGUAGCGGUGAAAUGCGUAGAUAUUAGGAGGAACAUCAGUGGCGAAGGCGGCUUACUGGGCUUUAACUGACGCUGAGGCUCGAAAGCGUGGGGAGCAAACAGGAUUAGAUACCCUGGUAGUCCACGCCGUAAACGAUGAUUACUAGGUGUGGGGGGACUGACCCCUUCCGUGCCGCAGCAAACGCAAUAAGUAAUCCACCUGGGGAGUACGACCGCAAGGUUGAAACUCAAAGGAAUUGACGGGGGCCCGCACAAGCAGUGGAGUAUGUGGAUUAAUUCGAAGCAACGCGAAGAACCUUACCAGGUCUUGACAUCGUAUGCAUAGCUCAGAGAUGAGUGAAAUCUCUUCGGAGACAUAUAGACAGGUGGUGCAUGGUUGUCGUCAGCUCGUGUCGUGAGAUGUUGGGUUAAGUCCCGCAACGAGCGCAACCCUUACUGUUAGUUGCUACGCAAGAGCACUCUAGCAGGACUGCCGUUGACAAAACGGAGGAAGGUGGGGAUGACGUCAAAUCAUCAUGCCCCUUAUGACCUGGGCCUCACACGUACUACAAUGGCUGUCAACAGAGGGAAGCAAAGCCGCGAGGUGGAGCGAACCCCUAAAAGCAGUCUUAGUUCGGAUUGUAGGCUGCAACCCGCCUACAUGAAGUCGGAAUUGCUAGUAAUCGCAGAUCAGCAUGCUGCGGUGAAUACGUUCCCGGGCCUUGUACACACCGCCCGUCACGCCAUGGGAGUCGGUAACACCCGAAGCCUGUAGUCUAACCGCAAGGAGGACGCAGUCGAAGGUGGGAUUGAUGACUGGGGUGAAGUCGUAACAAGGUA